GCCUUCGUGGUGUAACGGUAGCACAUUCGGCGCCUAUUCGAGAGGUCCAGGUUCGAGUCCCGGCAAGGGUA
rnacentral:tRNA from 1 species